rnacentral:misc_RNA from 1 species
UCUUUUGAAAUAAGCACCGUCGAAACUCUGUCCACCGAUUAUGGCGAUGCCGAUUAUGACAGGGGAGCUUAUCGCUGGCAAUCGGAAGAGGACGUCAAGCAAAGCUGGCUGUUGAAACCUAACAAGGAGAGUGAGAGGAGGAAGAAAAGAAUGGCUUAUGUGAACAACGUGACGGUCAAGACUCUGUUGUUGCUGGUCUUUUUGGGUGGUUUUAUCGCCCUCGUUGUUAAAGUCGUCAGCCGUCACCGCCACUGGCAUCCGGCUCCUGGCCCUGACAACUACACUAUUGCCCUCCACCAGGCGCUCAUGUUUUUCAACGCCCAGCGAUGUCCGUAUGCUCUCUUCUUUUUUCUCUCUUUUGUGCAUGAACGAUACUUGGCUCUGUUUAUAAGCUUG